UGCUUAGUGGAGUAGUGGUGACACGUUAAGCUUGAGACCAAGGAGUCCCGGGUUCGAUUCCUGGCUAGGGCAU